GACGUAGGGUGCAAGCGUUGUCCGGAUUUAUUGGGCGUAAAGAGCUCGUAGGCGGCUUGUUGCGUCGACUGUGAAAACCCGCGGCUUAACCGCGGGCUUGCAGUUGAUACGGGCAGGCUAGAGUUCGGUAGGGGAGACUGGAAUUCCUGGUGUAGCGGUGAAAUGCGCAGAUAUCAGGAAGAACACCGGUGGCGAAGGCGGCCAUCUGGACCGCAACUGACGCUGAGGCGCGAAAGCGUGGGGAGCAAACAGG
rnacentral:rRNA from 1 species